rnacentral:antisense_RNA from 1 species
CCCUUUGCCGAGUCUUUGUCUGGCCCCAGCCCCGCGGGGCCCCGGGUCCCUGUGCCCUCGGGGGUCCCUAGAAGGCGACAAUGGCUCGAGUCCAGGCGCCGAGGCUGGCGAGCGCCUGCUUGGCGCACAGCUGCCCGUUGAGCGGCGGCGGCUGCUCCGAGGAGUCCGGCUGUCGGCUCACCAGCCCCGAGAAGCCGGAGCCAAAGAUGGAGAUCAAGUUUGAGAUGUUGGACGCGUCCGGGGACGAGUCCGGGCAGAAGUCCUCGAAGCGGGCGCGCUUGCAGGGGGCGAACGGGGCGCCCCCGGGGGGCUCGGCCCCCAGCUCGCCCGCGUCCUCCUCGUCGUCUUCCUCCUCCUCCUGGCCAGGGAGCCAGCUCAGGUGUCUCUCCCUCCAGGAAGUGGGGCUCGCGCCCUUUGAGUACCUGCACUCCCCAUCACCGCACUCCCCAUCACCGCACUCCCCAUCACCACACUCCCCUUGUUGCAGUUUUAUGGAGUGUGCGUCUGGCUCUGCAACUAGACUUGAACCACUUGAGUGCAUAACUCAGGACUUGGCCAUCUGAGUCUGCCUGUGGCCAGCUCAGCCUUGGCCCACAAGGACCUGCAGAGAGUGGAUGUAGCCACUGCCCCAGCGUCCCUGGGCUCUGAAGAGAAGCCAUUGCCCUUCAAGAGCCACCUCAUUUCCUGGGCACUGGUUGGAAAAAGGAAGGAAAAGAGACACCCAGCUCACCUCCAAGUUUGCCUGCCGGUGAAUAUCUGUUGAAAGAGAGGGGACUCCCUGAGUCUUGCUGGGUUGAGGAAGCUGAUUUGAUUUCCGGACUCAGAGGAGGGUUGCAGAGAGGGAGGAAUUGGGGGGAUGGGCAGCUGACUUUCUGGAUGGGUGCAGGACAAUAACAUUGAUGGGGAAUCUUGGGGUGGCUCUGCCGUUGCCUACUGCUUGGCUGGUGAACUUGCUACAUCUUGGCCAGCACUAUCCUCUUCUGGCCUGCACCCUGCCAGACACAGGCAGUACCCCAAAUGCCCUGUCCCUGUGCCCUGAAGUCUCCAUGACCUUCAGAUCCCAAGGGACAAGUGGCUUCACGAGGCAGGGCCUGUCCCUCUGGCUCACAUUAUGGUGUCCACAGAACCUAGCCCGGAGCCUAGUGCACAGUAGCUGCUCAAUGUAUUCUAUUUGAAUGUUGCAUGAGUGAACAACUGCAGGAAUGUCAGGCUGGAAAACAGAUAUUUGUAUACCUGUGUUCAUAGCAGUGUUAUUCACAAUAGCCAAAGGGUGGAAGCACCCCACGUGUCUGCUGAUGGGUGAACGAGUAAACAGAAUGUGCCCCAGCCAUACAAUGGAAUGCGAUUCAGCUUUUUUUUUUUUUUUUUUUUUUUUUAGAUGGAGUCUGGCUCUGUUGCCCAGGCUGGAGUGCAGUGGCACGAUCUCAGCUCACUGCAACCUCUGUCUCCCGGGUUCAAGUGAUUCUCCUGCUUCAGCCUCCUGAGUAGCUGGGAUUACAGGCACGUACCACCACACCUGGCUAAUUUUUAUGUUUUCAGUAGAGACGGGGUUUCACCAUGUUGGCCAGGGGCUGGUGUCGAACUCCUGACCUCAAGUGAUCCGCCCUCCUCGGCCUCUCAAAGUGCUGGGAUUACAGGAGUGAGCCACGGCGCCCGGCCACGAUUCACCCUUAAAAAGGAAGGACAUUCUGACACACGCUACGACGUGGGUGAACCUUGAGGACCUGAGUGAAAUAAGCCCAUCAAAAAGGGACAAAUAUUAGCCAGGUGCUGUGGCUAAUGCCUGUAAUCUCAGCACUUUGGGAGGCCAAGGAGGGAGGCUUGCUUGAGGAUUGCUCAAUACCAGCCUGGGCCACAAAGCAAGACCGCCCAUGUGAGGUGUUUAGAGUAGUCAAAUUCAUAGAGACAAUAGGAUGGGGAGUGCCAGGAGCUGGGGAGAAGGGGGAAUGGGGAGUUAGAGUUUAAUGGGGACAGUUUCAGUUUUACAAGAUGAAAAAAGUUCUGGAGAUGAUGGUAGUGAUAGAGGCACAAUGCAGAUGUGCUUCAUGCCACUGAACUGGACCUAACCA